UGUGGCCGCGGGACGUCCUGGCCAGCAGGAUGCGCCCAAGUGUGACGUGCGCAGCUCCUGCCUUCUGAAAAGGGGCUGGUUUCCUUUCUGCCCUCGUCCUUCCCCCGCUCCACCCGGGGAGGCAACUCUGACGCGAGAACGGCCCCCCUCCGGGGACUGGCAGAGAAGAGCGCGGCGGAGGGAGGGGGCCAGGGAAUAAAACUGAGAGAUGCCGACGCUUGUGAGACACAAGGGGGAAGUGACUACAAAACAGAGAAGUGUAAAACCAAAGAAGGAAACUUCUUAGAGAAUCCAGAGGAAGGGAAUAAAGAAGCAGAGAGCAAAUAGGGUGAAAUGCAGCAGGAAAGUCUACAAAAACAAGGACCAAGAGACAGAUUUGGCAAAACAGCACAGAAAAUUUCUUUCCAGGUGAUGCCUCAGACCUAGACGGCACCAGGUCAUUUUCAAAACAGCCCUGAAAGGCACGUAUUACUCUCCCUAUUUUGCCGAUGAAGAAAUGGGAAGGGUCCCUGGGAGUGUCUCAGCCAAGGCUGCACAGCAGUUCCCCCAUGAAGUCCAGAUUUGAAACCGGAUUGCUUUGUUCUCUCCUCUGAUGAACUUCUGGAGGACAAGAAACCUGUUAGGUCAGAGUCUCUGAAGCCAUCUGGCACCUGGGCCCGCAGCUGGCACGUCCUAGGCCCUCAGUGCACAUGAAGAAGGAAGAAGAUAUGGAAUACACAGAAUAAGGAGGUGGUAAAAAGAACCCGCAGGACCAAAAUGGAGUCCCUUGUGCUAGACCCGCAUCCCCAAACUGGGACUUAAUACCUAACCUGAUUGCAAUUUUCAACCCUUCCCAGGAGUGUAAUCUUAACUGAUCAGUCUGGAAUUUCCUGGUCAGCACAGAUUUGCAUAAGCUGUUGGGUGGGUAUGGAGAACUACAUGUAAGGCUAGGAGAGAGGAGCCACAAGAUGAAAGGCACCUGGUUCCUGAAAGCCAUCUGCCAACCAGAGAACACCUGUCCUGGAUUUUUAUGUGACUAAGAAAUAAACUCAUUUUACAAGUUACUGAAAAUUUGGAAUUUGAUUGUCACAUUACUCUAACUGAUCCUGGCAUGAUAGUUUUGAGAACUGAGAAGCAGCAUGGAAUACCGGAUAUCAUCCAGGACAUCACUUCACAGUUAGUUGUUUCAUCUUCUUAGGUUCCCGUUGGCUUUGACAGCUUCUCAGAUUUUCCUUGUUUUUGAUGACUUUCACAAGUCAUCAUGGUGACCUCACAGUACCUUGAGGAGUACUAGUCAGGCAUUUUUUUAGAAUGUCCCUGUCCUGAGAUUUUUCUCAUGACCAGAUGGGCGUUAGAACACAUUAUCAUCAACAUGAUUUAUCACUUUUGUUAUUGACCUUGAUCAUCUGGCUAAGGUUGUAUUUGUUAGAUUUCUCCACUACAAAGUUACUCUCCAUCUCCUCUUCUCCAUACUGUACUCUUUGGAAGGAAGUCACUAAGAAUAGCCCACAUGUAAGGGGCUGGGAGUUAUGUUCCACCUCCUUGAGGGUGGAGUCUUUGUAAAUUAUUUGUAAUUCUUCUGCAUGAGAGAUUUAUCUCCUCUCCCUCAUUUAAUUAUUUAAUCAUUCAUUUAUAUCCAUAUAGAUGUGUGGAUAUUUACCUUAUACUUUGGGUUUAAUCCAAUACUACUUUAUUUAUUUUUGGUUUUCAUAUUGCUUCAGCUUUGACCAUUGGGAUCUCUUUCAAUUGGCUUCCAUGUCCCUUUGACAUACUUCAUCAAUAUGAUAUUUUUGGUUUUUUGUUUUUAUGUGUACUUGCUUUCUUUUCUU